UACGUAGGGUGCAAGCGUUAUCCGGAAUUAUUGGGCGUAAAGAGCUCGUAGGCGGUUUGUCACGUCUGCUGUGAAAACUGGAGGCUCAACCUCCAGCCUGCAGUGGGUACGGGCAGACUAGAGUGCGGUAGGGGAGACUGGAAUUCCUGGUGUAGCGGUGAAAUGCGCAGAUAUCAGGAGGAACACCGAUGGCGAAGGCAGGUCUCUGGGCAUUAACUGACGCUGAGGAGCGAAAGCAUGGGGAGCGAACAGG
rnacentral:rRNA from 1 species